GGGCUGUGAUGAAUGCAUGCAUUAUGCUUCUGACACCUCUUAUGCUAGCGAUUAUUUCCGAAUCGCAAUGAUUCCAGUUAGUUAUCUGAGCUC
rnacentral:snoRNA from 1 species